rnacentral:rRNA from 1 species
AUGAUCAGUCACAUCUGGGGCUGAGACACGGUCCAGACUCCUACGGGUAGGCAGCAGUGGGUGAUAUUACACAAUGGAGGUACUCUGAUGUAGCUACGCCUCGUGGAGGAUGACACAUUUCUGGUGCGUAUACUCCUUUUAUAUGGGCAGAUAACUGACGGUACCAUAUGAAUAAGCACCGUGCUAAUCUCCGUGCCCGCAGCCGCGGUUAUACGGAGGGUGCAAGCGUUACUACGGAAUCACUGGGCUGUAUAGCGCGCGCAGGCGGCCCCUUAAGUUGGAUGUGAUAAUCCUAUGGCUCAACCAUAGAAUCUGCAUCCAAAUACUCGAUGGGUCUAGAGUUCUGUGGAGGGGUAAGAUGGAAUUAGUGGUGUAGGGGUAAAAUCUCGUAGAGAUCACUAGGAAUACCACAAGCGAAGGCGAUCUUACUGGAACAGUACUGACGCUGAGGCGCGACACAGCGUGGGGAGCAAACAGGAUUAGAUACCCUGGUAGUCCACGCCCUAAACUAUGAAUGUUAGUCGUCGGGAGGCUUGUCCUUUCGGUGAUGCAGCUAACGCAUUAAACAUUCCGCCUGGGGAGUACGGUCGCAAGAUUAAAACUCAAAGGAAUAGACGGGGACCCGCACAAGUGGUGGAGCAUGUGGUUUAAUUCGAAGAUACGCGAAGAACCUUACCUGGCCUUGACAUUGAUAGAAUCUGUCUUAGAGAUAGCGGAGUGCCCUUCGGGGAGCUAUGCAUACAGGUGCUGCCACUGGACUAGUCGUCAGCUCGUGUCGUGAGAUGUUCGGGUUCAAUGUCCCGCCAUACGAGCGCAACCCUCAGUCACUAGUUACUAACGGUAUCGGCCGAGGACAUCCUAGAUGACGACUGCCUUCGCAAGGAUGGCAGGAAGGUGUAGUGAUCGACGUCAAGUCAUCAUGGCCCUCUACGGCCAGGGCGACACACGUGCUACAAUGGUGAUGUACAAUGAGACGCAAUACCGCGAGGUGGAGCAAAUCUAUAAAGCAUCUCUCAGUUCGGAUUGUAGUCUGCAACUCGACUACAUGAAGCCGGAAUCACUAGUAAUCGUAGAUCAGCCAUGCUACGGUGAAUACGUUCCCGGGUCUUGUACUCACCGCCCGUCACACCAUGGGAGUUGAUUUCACCCGAAGCGGGGAAGCUAAACCGGCUACCCUCCACGGUGGAA